AUUGAACGCUGGCGGCAGGCUUAACACAUGCAAGUCGAGCGCGCGGCGGACGGGUGAGUAAAGUCUCGGCAACUGCCUGCUGGAGGGGGAUAACUACUGGAAACGCUAGCUAAUACCCCAUACCAUCAGAUGUGCCCAGAUGGGAUUAGCGAGUAGGUGUGGUAAUGUCUCACCUAGGCGACGAUCCCUAGCUGGUCUGAGAGGAUGACCAGCCACACUGGAACGGAGACACGGUCCAGACUCCUACGGGAGGAAGCAGUGGGGAAUAUUGCACAAUGGGCGCAAGCCUGAUGCAGCCAUGCCGCGUGUGUGAAGAAGGCCUUCGGGUUGUAAAGCACUUUCAGCGAGGAGGCGUUACUCGCAGAAGAAGCACCGGCUAACUCCGUGCCAGCAGCCGCGGUAAUAC
rnacentral:rRNA from 1 species